rnacentral:lncRNA from 1 species
GGUGCAAUGUCUUUAAAAUAGCAAAUUGUAUGGUGUAAAGAGCUAGAUGCAAUGCAAUAGCAAAUGUUCAUGGUAAAAUGCCGACGCUUGUCAGAUCUUCAAGCUGAAAAUAUCUAUUAUUAAAUUCCUGCAUUCAAAGAAAAAUUGUAAGUUCCAAAAUUUGAUUCAUGCUGGCUUGGCUUCAUCCUUUUCUGAGUAUUGCGAUUUUGGCUUGAUGCUAAGCUUUGGAUCAUCACGCAGAUGGUCUUGAUCGAGAAUGGCUAGAGCUUGCCCCUUUUUUACUCAAAGGAAAUUCAUUAGUAUAAAAUAAAGUGGUUGCCUUGCAUUGAACGUCAAAGUUUUGGCUUUGAAUCUACAACUUGCUGCUAUGGCAUUCUGGAAAUUUGUUGUUGCGCUUGUAACAAAUAUGUAGCUCAAAAUUUCACUUUAUGCUUUGCCAAAUGGUGAGUAUCCUUUUAGCAAAAUCUGCCCCGGUUUUGGCUUUUGGGGUAAAUAGAAUUUUAUUAUGAUGAGACCGAACUCAUAGGGUUGCCUACGUAUCCCCUCUUAAACGGGAAUUAGGUCAAAACGUAGUUCAUACAAAAGUUUAACAAAAAGUACAUGAAACAGAGUAAAUCAUGAAAGGGCGGACAAAUAGUAGUGAUGAAAAACUCUAAUCAAUCAACUUGUUUAGCUUCACGCUUUCUCUUCAAAGGUCUUGGUGCCAACUUUGAAAGAUCACCUUUAACCACGAUGGUAUUAGUGACUGAAGGUUCAUAGUUGUUGCAUGGUUGCUCUUGCUGCACAAUUAUCUUGUUGUUUUCAAUCAUGUUCUGAAUCUUAUGCUUAAGUGCUGGGCACUCUUCUGUGUCAUGGCCUUGAAUAUAUGAAUGGUACGCACAAGUUUUAGACCAAUCAAAAUCUGGAGGAAGAUCUUGCGGGAUCCAUCCUUUCCUUGGUUGUAAAAGUCCUUUCGCUUUCAAUCUCUCAAAUAUGCUUGUCAAUGAUUCUUUCAGAGGAAUAAAAGUGUUGAAUUUCAGGUUAUCUGAAUGACGAUAGCUAGAUUGUGCUUGAUAAGCUUGAUGUUAAAUGCUUUGGUGAGUAGGUUGGAGUUGUCUAUGAGUUUGUAGCAGUUGGUUGUUUUGUUGAGAUUGUGGCUGAUGAGCGGGAAUGCAAGCAUAAUCUAUCUUCCUCUUUUUGCCUUGUAAACUCUCGAGUGUCUCAUCUUGGAAAGUGGCUUGUAAUUUUGAAUUGUCAAUAAUUUUUCCUACUCGAAUGCUUGCUUCUAUCAGUUUUCCAACUCUAAUCAAAUCCGAGAAGUCAUGUAGCUGAGCGCAUAGCAACUUUUCAUAGUAUAUGCCUUUUUGCAUUUCGAUGAAGGUGGAAAUCAACUCAUUCUCGGGUAAUUGAGGGCGUAUUUUUGAAGCCUCCAGUCUCUAAAGCAUGGCAUAUUCUGCAAAAGACUCGUAUUGCAUUCUUUCUACUUCACGCAUAUCACAAAGCGUUGGACUAUCUCCAAUAUUAAACUUAUAUUGUUCUACAAAUUUGCGAGUCAUGUCCUCCCACGUGUACCAUUUGCUAAAAUCUUGUUGAGUGUACCAAUCAAGCGCUAGCCCUGAUAGACUCUGAAUGAACAACUUCAUUAUGUCCAAUCCCCACUAAUCUGCUGCAGUAGUCUUUUAAAUGAGAAAUGGGAUUUCCUUUCCUAUUGAAAGUAUUGAAUUUUGGAAUUUUGAAUCCUGGCGGAAGCUCAACAUUUGGAUGCAUGCACAAACUUUCAUAUCUUAAACUCUGAAUAUUUCUUGCACGCAUUUCUUCCUCCACGGUCUUUCUUAGGUUAUGGAGCUCUCUAUCUAGAUCAUCCCAGCUAGUCGUCUUAAUUUCCUUUCCUGGUUUUUUGUAUGGGCAUAGCGCUAGUUGAUUUUGUUGGCUUUCUAUUACUGAUGUUGCAAGUGCAGAUGAUUGGGCAUUGGUCAUCAUGAUGACUGGCAAUGCCUCUGGAUUGAUAGUAAGUUUUGGCGGUAUCAGUGGAGGACUUAUGUAAAUAAUUGCUAGAUGAGGAGAUAUGGUCAAAGAGACAUUUCGGGUUGAGCUGGAAGCAGAAUUUGGGUUGGGGAGAAGGUUGAAAGUAUUUCCCAGAUUGACCAAAAUGUUCCUCCGUAUAACAUUUGUCUCCUCAUCAUCAGUCUCAACUUGCAACAAACUUUUGCCGGUACUGAGUGCUCCAAAUCGAUUUGCCAUUAUAGUUGCGUUCUUUAAUGCAGAUUAGCAGCCAAAACAGUGUUCAAUGCUAGGCAACCUUUAAAGAAAAAUAAAACUUUUACAAACAAAAUAAGGUGUUAGCAUAUUCAUCAUAAUGAAAUAAAUGCAUAAAAAUAAUAGAAUGAUUAUAUAUAUUAAUCCAUGUUAUGGUUAAAUAGGAGCCUUAAACUAGAAACAAUGGCCUAUGUUGCAAAAUGGAUGGACGAGACUGAAUUGUUAUCUAGAGGGCUCUAACGCUCGAGACUUUUGAUAUGGAAGUGGAAUGAUUUAAAAUUUUGUGAAAGGUUGACUUAUGUUCGAACAUCAAAGCUUUAGCUCUAGCAUAGUCAACUUCUUUGCAUGCCUUUGGAAUUUUCCAAAUAAUUGCCCCAAUCUUUAGGAAGGUUCUGAUGAAUACUUCAUGGCAUGAUGUCCCUUUUGAGAAAACUCAACCUGCGUGCCAAGAAUCUGCCCCAGUUUUUUUCAUGAAGGGAAAUGAAAAUUUUGCUGUAAUUAGACCGAGUCUUAUAUAGACUGUGUUUCAAAGAGGUCAGAGACAAAUAAUUUUGACGUUGAAAAUAAUUUUUGGCUAUUUGAAUAUCGACAAGCUCAAAAUCAAGAUACUUGAUUAGGAUAUAAGAGUCUAUUGGACAUGAAAUGUCUCUAUUAUUUUAUUGUUUAGUGUUGGCAAAUCAUAAAGUUGUCGAGGCCGGGAAUACAGUAUUAACCGUUUUGAGACUUUAUGGGAUAGUACCUCGACUCACAUGCCAAGACUUAGAAUUAACGGGUGCGUGAAGAUUAGUCUCGAUGACCCGAAAUAAGAUGAUACAAACACUUGAAUUGAAUAGGUAAAAAUUUUAGAAUAAUUUGACGAUGCAAACUGACCAAAAUAGUGGCCUUCUAUUGCUCGGUAGAUUGCACAAGUUUGGACAUCUACCAAUUUGUAAAUGAGAAUUGGUACGAAGGUUGAAAUAGGUAGAAUAGUAAGUAGAUUUUAUGAAACAUAGAUCUACGAUAAGAAUCGAAGGUAUGAAUAUUCUGUGAGGCACAAGUGGCAAUAUUUGAAAAAUGUGUAACUAUUUUAAAGAAAAAAAUGCGAAUAAAAUUAACUCACGGAUUAGAUGGGAAAAAUAUUUUCUAAUUAUGAAAUAUUACGCCUUUUUUUAAAGAAGUAGGGAUGAUAUCUUGCUAUAGGGAGUAAGAUGCUCAUUGUAAAGAAAAUUCUUAAGGCUAGUUUAAGGCACGAAUAUCGAGGAAUUUCAUGACAAACUGAGCUUGUUGAAGAGAAUUUGCGUGCAAAACGUCCUAAAUUAUAAAUAAUAGAAGAUUUCCCAAAGACUAAAACGAUAUCUUAAUUAGACUCUAGGAAAUGAAAUGGGCCUAAGAAAAAUUUGAGCUUAAGUAAAUACCUAAAUGGUGCUCAAGAGCUGUUAAAAAGCUAAGCGAGGCGAUUUCAGGAAGAUGAUAUUAAAACAAGCAGAAGAAUAUAUAUAUAUAUAUAUAUAUAUGAACAAAUAAAAUAUAUAUUUAAAUAAAGAUACAAGUUGGAUAGUUAAUACUUCCUUUUUCUGAAAAACAACAAAUAAUAUUAGUAAAAAUAAUAAAGUCGAGCAAGCAACACAGAGAGUAAGCAAGUAAGCAAAUAGGCAAGCAAAUCAUGCGACACAUUCCAAAGCAAAUAAUAGCGCAUUCUAAUACGUGGGGAGGCCUCUUUGUGCCAGAGGUAGGCCUAACGUAUAUUUGAAAGAUAAAUAUGUCAUUAUGUAUCAUCCCAUUGAUGUAAAUUAAUUGAAUAAGUCUAUUUUUCAAAAGAAAAUAAAGUAUAAUAGUAUGAUUGCUUAAACCCUUCUUUUGUAAUAAAAGAUCAAAAGAAAGUAUAUAUUUUCAUCAUGUCAAAACUUCUCGCUGAUUAUGUCAUUUGAAAAUUUUACUACAUAUCAUAGAAAUAAUGACCAUGCUCAUUUACCUAAGAUUUAAUUAAUUAAGAGAAAAUGGUCCACAUAAUUGACAUGUUAACUCUUCAAAUAAUGCACAUACACGUGAUAAAGUGUCACUUGGGGUUGAAAACCCACUUGGACAUUUAGGUAAGGUUAACUAAUGGAUUUAAUACACCUCGGGUAUUAAAUCACCUAAAGUUAAAAUGAUGCAUGCUCUUAAAAGGGUUUCGGUUUAGCUCUAUCUUAGGCUGACUAAGACUGGGUUUUGCUAGACUGGUCAUCUCCCAAGCGGACAACUUGAGAGUGGAAAGCCUGUGACUAUCGAUUGCACCGCUGAUCGACUUACCCACAAACUUUCUCCUAAAAGGUGUUUUAAGUAGUGCACGGCCGCAAACCACGUAACCACUAGAUGUGUGCUUUGUGUGAAUUUUCCAGUAGUGGAGAAAGUGAAACGGAAUGACAAUUUAUAUAAAGCAAUAAGAACAGAUAAACAAUUCAUAAAAUACAGUUUAUCAUAUAAAGGCAAUUCAAAUAAGCAUCAUAACAAUAAAAAACACACAAAUUAAUUUUUAUUAUUAACCUAAGUUUGUUAUGGUUUAGAACCUAGAAUCCCCAGCAGAGUCGCCAUGCUGUUAUACCCCAUUUUAAUACGGGUCAAAUUAGAGUAUAACAUAUUGGUAAUUCUGAGGUUUAAUUAAUUAAAGAGAGUCGCCACCUAAUUAUUUUAACGGUGAAUUAGGACACCAAUUUUAGCUAAAUAGUGCUUAAAGUUAACUCUAUUCUAUGGUCUACUUAACCUUCAAGACUACGGGUAAGGGUUCUAAUUGAUCUUAUAGAGAAGGUAUUAAGCACUCUAUAUGACCCAUUAAAUAUGGUUAACCGGCCAAACUUAGGUUAAUUGAUAAAAAAUAUUACGCUAAAGUAUCAAUAUAUAGCUAACUAUAUAACUCGAUAGAAAACAAUAGAGUAUUCGAUUUCAGCAUUGGCUAACUUCUGUGGAACUUAACAACUUAUAUCUUAAGGAAAAUGUUUAAGUCCCUUAAGAAAGCUGACGAUUUGAGAAAAAUAUUUUAUAUAUCAGUUUUAACAUGAUGAAAGCAAUAAUUUAAAAUAAUUCUCAAAGGAAGAACGCUUGGAGACAAGUCUUUCUACUUGCUAAAGAAAAGCAAUUUUCAUUCGAACUUUUAGAAAACACUCAGCAUAUUAAUUAUAUAAAAUCUCAACUUGAUGAUGUUAGAAAGGAUGUUAACGAGAUCUUUUGAAAAACUUCAUUUUAAUGACUUGUGAAAGUGUCACAUUACUAUUUUUGAAGUUUAGAAGUCUAGGUAAACACUAUAUGAUAAAAUAGGUACCUUGUUUGCUAGCUAAAGAAGAGAUAAUUAAAUAGACUCAAUCUUCAAACCUAUGUUAAGCGUGAGAUAAACACAAAUAUCAAAUAAACCAGGAGACAUCAAGAAAUUAAAUAAAACAAUCGUAAAAUAAAGAGAAGAUAAGAAAGACGCCAUAGGCGCCCCCAAGCAUUUUGCUUGUUUUCUUGCUAUCGGGUGCACUCUAAGGAAGAUGCCAUGUAAUGACUCCAGGCUCGAGAAUGGGAGAGUCUUGCAUUAAAACUCCAUAUUUUGCUCCAAAUAUAUACGCAAAAGAAAUAAACAAGCCAAGAAUUAGGAAGAGGAAAAAAUCUUUUUUUUCUUUAGUGCUAAAGAGCAGAGGUUAAUAACAAGUAGAAUCACUUCAAGUAAUAUUGAUAUUCAAAUUAUCUAAAUAAGUUAUUAGCACACUCAUAGCUUAUCAUCUCAUAUUACUACCGUCAUUCAUGCUAUCAUAAAACUAAUAUUACCCAUAUAUAAUAGAUAAUACUAAAAUGCAUGGGCAACUAUGUGACUCAAAAAUUAUUUUAAAGUUUCAAGUAUAAACCCUUUUAAUUCUUAAGUUAAGCAACGACGUCAAUAAUUAUAAAAGGAUCUAUAAUCGUAUACCAACAUUUCACAAUAACAUGCGUUUCCGUCAGCUAAAGUCUAUAUCAUUGUGAGAAAUUCUAAAUUCUAAGGACAUAGCUUCUAAUUAACCAAUUUAUACAGUAAGAUUAAGCUAAUACCCAUAAAUUCCCAAAUGGUAAUAUAAACACUUAUUUCACAAAAGAAAUACUCUACGGAAGCAAACACUAUCCAGAUCAUAUAGGAUGAAUUAUUAACAUAAAUAUAACUCAUACUUAAUAGAAGAUAACCAUGAAGAGGGCAACUAAUUCACUAAUAUAUUCAUAUGACCAUCGACACUUUAUUUUACUUAAUUAAGAGAUACUUAAAAAAAUAGUCUUACAUGAUUUCAUACAUGAACAAAUUUACAAUGGAAAAUAAACUGGAGACAAAAAUUUUUUAAAAAAAACAAACAAACAUUUCAGAUCUUCGAAUACAGGAAAGCCGAGAAGAAAGAUUUCGAAGUUACUGACCUUUUUGUGGGCAGUGAAUGGGGCGUCAUCAAGAGGAUCUCCGGCUUUGGCUCAGCUCUUUCGGAAGAUCGUCAAAUGCGUACACAAAAAAAAUAAAAGCUUUGACAAUGCUAUGGACUAAAUAGAGGUCAAAAAGCAGAGAAAACUUAAAGCUGGAUUUUACGAGAGCAAGGAAGAAGAUAAGCUUUGAAUAGUUAGCCACUGAGGGUGAAGGGAGAUAGAAGGGGGGCGGCCAACCAUUAGUUUUUGGAGUAAAAUGGUUGUUGAAUCUUAAACUUAGAGGGGAUAGAGGAACGGCCCAGAGCUUAAAGGUUAAAGGAGAGGGUUCAAGCUUGUGGGUUUAAAGAGAGGUGUAACGGCUCUCAAAAGCUCUGUCCCAAUAUAUUCCAAAUGCAAGUAUUUAUAGGUGAAGAAGUAGGGUUCAUGUUCCUGAUUUUGAAAUUCAAAAUCCCAUGGCAGAGAAGGAUCACGGGUAUUUUGAUUCAAAAGAGCCGUUUGAGGCAGCUGAUUUUCAACGGGC